rnacentral:sRNA from 1 species
UUUUUUUUUUUGCUUAAGUGCACCGUAAAAGACUUUCAAGCGGAUAUUCAAUUGAAAGCGUUUAAUUCAGCCAAAUGCAUAUGUUCUUGGCCCGAGCUACGUCUUGCGGAAUUGGGUUAACACUAGUUAAUUUUGUGUGGCAGUCAACGUUGCGAUACCGAGCUGUGGAAUAGGACACCAUUUGUGUAUAUCCUUAACAUUUGGCAGAUCUCAGAGUCUGAGUGCUCUGCUUGCGCGGCGGAUAAUUGGCUGUAUACGAUGAACACCUUUAAUUCAAAUAAUAAUGGUUGCAAGAUGUCGAGACCGCAUUAAGCCCAGAUUUGUGGCUGCUGAUUUUGGGUAUAUGCUGUCGCAUACGAAAGCUGCACUUUAUAAAUUUCUAAUUACACAUAUGCGACAAUGCCUGCGGCUCAGGCAACGGCAACGGGUCAGAGCUGUGCAGAGCUUAAGGGCUGUCUAUAGCGCACCUGUGGAACUAUCAAAUGUGUACACUGCACAAAAUGCAUCAGUAUGCAAAUGAAUGAAAUCUUUCAUUUAACUCAGAGCUCAAUUUGAUCAUAACGCUAUGUUCAUAUAAAAGUGAUCUAACA